rnacentral:rRNA from 1 species
UCUGGUUCAGGACGAACGCUGGCGGCACGCUUAACACAUGCAAGUCGAACGGAGUUAUUGAGAGCUUGCUUUGAUAACUUAGUGGCGGACGGGUGAGUAACACGUGAGCAAUCUGCCCUUAAGAGGGGGAUAGCAGUUGGAAACGACUGAUAAUACCGCAUAAGAUAGUAGUACCGCAUGGUACAGCUAUAAAAGAUUUAUCGCUUAAGGAUGAGCUCGCGUCUGAUUAGCUAGUUGGUGAGGUAACGGCUCACCAAGGCAACGAUCAGUAGCCGGACUGAGAGGUUGGACGGCCACAUUGGGACUGAGACACGGCCCAGACUCCUACGGGAGGCAGCAGUGGGGAAUAUUGCACAAUGGAGGAAACUCUGAUGCAGCGAUGCCGCGUGAGGGAAGAAGGUUUUAGGAUUGUAAACCUCUGUUGACAGGGACGAUAAUGACGGUACCUGUUGAGGAAGCUCCGGCUAACUACGUGCCAGCAGCCGC